rnacentral:misc_RNA from 1 species
UUUCCGUAGGUGAACCUGCGGAAGGAUCAUUAACGAAUAACUAUGGUGUCUUGGUUGUAGCUGGCUCCUCGGAGCAAUGUGCACGCCCGCCAUUUUUAUCUUUCCACCUGUGCACCGACUGUAGGUCUGGAUGACUCUCGUACUCCGGUGCGGAUGCGAGGAUUGCUCUCGGGCUCUCCUCGAAUUUCCAGACUCUACGUCUUUUUACACACCCCAAACGUAUGAUACAGAAUGUAGUCAAUGGGCUUGAUCGCCUAUAAAACACUAUACAACUUUCAGCAACGGAUCUCUUGGCUCUC